AAAAAAACCGACGAAGAACUCAAGAGAGAUCGUAGAAACGCCCUGCGGAGAGCUGCUUAUAGGAGGAAAAAGGAUAAGCUUAUCCAUGAUGAAAACAUACGUCCACUUUCGUUAUCAGGCUGCAUUAAUCUAGGACCUGGCGAGGAUUGGUUCAGAGAGCAAGCAUCGUUCUGCAGUAUCUUAAGGACGCUGGUUGGGCUGAGGGUGGUCGACUUAUAGGUUGCACCCAGCCAAGACGAUUGGCUGUGCAGAUAUCCAUGAAGCCAGCCUCAUGACACUUGACGAAACACGUGCGUACGUCAAUGGUGUUGUUCAAG